rnacentral:rRNA from 1 species
CCUCCUUUCUUCCUCCUUGCGGCAUCUUGGUCAAUGGACGAGAUUCUGAACCAGCCAAGUAGCGUGAAGGAUGACUGACCUAUGGGUUGUAAACUUCUUUUAUAAAGGAAUAAAACGAGGCACGUGUGCCUUUUUGCAUGUCCUUUAUGAAUCACGCUAGGCUACCUCCGUGCCAGCAGCCGCGGUAAUACGGAGGAUCCGCGCGUUAUCCGGAUUUCGUGGGUUUAAGGGGAGCGUAGAUGGGUUGUUAAGUCAGUUGUGAAAGUUUGCGGCUCAACCGUAAAAUUGCAAGUGAUACUGGCAGUCUUGAGUACAGUUGAGGUAGGCGGAAUUCGUGGUGUAGCGGUGAAAUGCGUAGAUAGCACGAAGAACCCCGAUGGCGAAGGCAGCUUACUAAACUGUGACUGACAUUGAUGCUCGAAAGUGUGGGUAUCAAACAGGAUUAGAUACCCGUGUAGUC